UACGUAGGGGGCUAGCGUUGUCCGGAAUCAUUGGGCGUAAAGCGCGCGUAGGCGGCCCGGUAAGUCCGCUGUGAAAGUCAAAGGCUCAACCUUUGAAUGUCAGCGGAUACUGCCAGGCUAGAGUCCGGAAGAGGCGAGUGGAACUCCUGGUGUAGCGGUGGAAUGCGCAGAUAUCAGGAGGAACACCGAUGGCGAAGGCAGGUCUCUGGGCAUUAACUGACGCUGAGGAGCGAAAGCAUGGGGGAGCGAACAGG
rnacentral:rRNA from 1 species